GGCGGAGUCCCACUGUGUGGGAGAGGCGAAAAAAGCCUACCCGACAUUGCCGACUGAGAGGGUAACUUAAUUAUUUACCUCCUUUGUGCUGGCUUUAGUACCAAGAGAAAAGAAGUCGUGCGUCAGAGUCUACUGUCCUCACACAAUGGAAAGCGAGCAAGAGCGACGAGACCAUGAGCAUUGUUGAUGCGAUGCAAAAGCCGUCCAUCUAUCCAUUUCCAGAGGAAUUUCCCAGGAGCCGUAGCCAGAGGAGAAGUUGGCAGAUGUGGACAUGAGGAACUGAACAUCCUUCUCAGCAGACACGAACAGUCCUCGGCUUUCUGCUUCCCGCAUAACUGGCUUACCAAGGAAAAAGAAGUCACACGUCGGAGUCUACUGCCCUCAUGCAAUGGAAAGUGAGUGAGAGCAGCGAGCCUGUGAGCAUUGUUCAGGCCAGGCAAGAGCAGUCCAUCUGGGAGUUGAGCAGAGGCCACUGUCACUCAGAUAAGUGUCUGGUUUGGUGAUUGCUCUGCUCAUGGCUCAGCUCCUGGUAGGGACACCCUAUUAGCAAGGU